CAGACUGAAGACAAUCAAGUUCUGUUGUCAAGCCACAGAGGAGAGACUCAUCUUGGGGAAGAAUGUAUUACUUCUGCGCUGAAAGUGUCUGACUCCUGAUAGACGCACUAUUUGCACCCGGUUUCACACCCGAAUCCAGAAUGCCAUAUGGGUUCCUAUCAGCCCCACGCUGAACCUUGGCAAACUGCUCAAUGAGCCCAAGGCAUGCAGAAAAACCAAGGGUGACUCUUGUGUCAUUUCACCACACGUUGCUGCAUGAGUUGGGCAAAACAAGAAUGUUCAGCACUGCGAAAUCUUGACUUGCGGACAUCUUCAUCCAUUUGUACAUGCAACAACAUAUCCUUAGACAGAAGAUCUGACCUUCCUAAAUGCGGUGCAUAUCAGGAUCAACUGGCAUUUCCCAUACUUCUCUGGAGACAUUUUUGGAUAAGUGUUUCAGCUUCAUCUGCGUACAGAGACAUAUCUUUUUUUGGCUUACUGCAAACAGAGGAUUCAGAACAGUCACGUCUACAAAUUAUUUAACUUUCAAAUGCUCAUUAAAUCUUCAGCUCCUUCUGCAGGCUGUGCAAGUGCUAUGUAACAAAUUAUGGAAGUUAGGUAGGAGGCAGAAUAGGAUAAAAAUCGCUUAUCCUUCACGCCAUUAUCCCGGAUGAUGUAUCGCUGUCUGGCGUGUACUGUCCCUUGUAUGAAGUAGUCUGUGCAACGCACCCAGACUGCUCUAGCAUGUAAUGGCAGCACAUGAUUAAGUGCUCAAGAAAGCUCGACCAGCAGAAAGGGUAGGCAAAGCUAGCAAGGAGCCGUCAUCCAGCUUCAGAAGUUUUGUUUGCACCAGAGGAGUCUGAAAGGAGGUUGAUAUCUUAAUAUGUUUAUGUGGCUCACCUGCUAAAGGCAACGUGAAUUAGUGCAAUGUCUGAUUUAAGCCACAAUUUUUCACUGUCUAAAUCUUUUUUUUAUUCCUGCUGCAUAGUUUGAGCAAGAAAAGUGAGUGAAAAAUUACUGUCAUAAAAGACUCAUCUGCUUUCCAUUAUACUGACAUUUAAGAAUUGCGCACAUUAAAAUGCUCCUAUGUGCCACAGAGAGUGACAGAAAAAAACAGAAGGUUAAAAUUUACAACAAAUGGGAGAUUUUGUAAUUCAGCCUCCUUGGGAGGUGGGAGUGGAAAUGGCGACUGCGCAACUAAAAUGAUCUCACUUCACCUAAUCCUUUUCAUCCCUGCUUACAUCUGCAUGUCAAGGAGUUAAAUUGCCAGUGCAUAGAAAAAUGUUUUCUUAAAACAUCCUUUACCCUCUGCCUCUUUCAGAUAAAAAAGUAAUAUUGAUAUUUUUCAGCCAAAGGUCAAUGUGUUGUGCUCCCUAUGGGCAGAACUCUGUAAAGUCAGUGAUUUAAUAUGAUUUGUUUUAUCAGGAGUUUUGGUCUGUACUGGAAGGCAACUGUUCAGAAACUUUUUCUCUGAAUUAGGAAAACCAAUUCCUCUUCCGCUGCGGGGCAGCUUCCAGCUGCUGGUACCUUUUGGUGUCUCACAAAAUGAGGAGAAGUGUUUUUUGUGGCUGAGAAACAGUUCUGUCUCCCUCUACAUGGGAGAGCUAUGAGGUUGUGUCUUCUGAUAUAGGAGCAUCAGCGACAGCGUGAAAUGCUGCCGUCCAAACCUGCCGACGUGAUCUGCCGAAUCGCGGCGAGCGCGAGGGGCGCUGGGCAGUGCGUAGUCCCAAACAGGGCAUCGCGCUGCAUUGUCACCGAGAGCACCAUAUUUGUUGCUUGUACAGAAAAGCUGGCUUUUGGGGAGUGUCAAGCACCGUCUCUAUAAUUAGGUCCCUUCCCAGAUAUCUUCAGGUCAGCCCACAAAACCGCAAGGGAAGUUUGAAAAUCUUGUUUUUAAAAUAAGGUUUCAUACCUGUCUUGGUGUUUGAACCACAGAGCACAAGCCCAGACCUGAGAGUUUUGAUUGCAAAUCUGAACGAUUUUCCUUCAGAUCUGUCUCUCAAAGUUCCAAAUCUUCAGAAAAAAACAAAACAUGUUCUUAAAAAAAAAGAUAAUUGUGGUCAUAACGCUGCGUGUAAAAGCAGAAACACCAGGCUCUCACUGUUAUUCUGCAGUUGCCACUUCUAUGUCAAAUUUAUUCAGAUUACAAGUCAAAACCAGUUUUUUUCCAUCUCUAUGACUCGCUGCUCAGUCUGGUACUUGCAAAUCCAGCUGCAUUAGCUCUGUUUCGCGUAACACCCCUGCCGACCGUGCGCCACGACGGAGCGGGGGCCUGGCUUUGGCGCUGUGGCUGUGUGACAGCGAAGAGCAAUGCUCCCUCCCCUACUAUCAUAUCACUCUUCUUUCUGAACAGAGUAAAAUCUUAGUUUUGGUAGCAAACUAUAUGUUUUGUCUUAAGAGGCAAAUUCUGAAGAGAGAAGCAAACAGGCUUUAUAGGACUCAGCUUGCACUGUUUCUUCUGAUCCUUAGAUAGCUUCAGUAUCAUUCGAACUUUGUAUCAAAACCUGAAAUUCCGUGUUUGGCAGUUUUCUAUCCUCAGGUUGCAAACAGAAUGUAUUUAUUGCUUUAGAGCAAAGAACAGAAUAGCGAAAUAUCCACAUUUGAAUGAAAACAUUCAUUUUCUCUUAGUAAUGGAGCUGUGUGCCUCCAAUUUCCAGCUCCCUCUACUUCUCAGAGCCGAGAAGCCCUACCCGUGCAAGGCACUUUGCAGUGAAGAGACAGGAACCGGCUCUUGGAAUUCAGUCGUUCACCGACCCAUAAAACUCUCAGCGCUGAAGGCUGAGGGGAGCCUAAGUGACUUUGAGUGAUGUACGAUAUAAAACAGGAAUUAGACACAGCUCAGCACAGCAGGAUCAAAUACCACACCCCAGCCUACAUUCCUGUGGGUGAACUUUUUGAGUCUGCAAAUGAUGAUGCCUGAAUUUGUCAGCCCAUGUAAAUGAUGGGUUCAGACACAUACCCCUGAAUUUAUUGCUUCAAAAGCAUUAACUGUGGGUAGGGAGAGGAAGUGGAGGAAGGAAAAGAAGUUGCUCUUGGGGAAUAAAAGUGAAAGGGAAUGAAUGUCUUUGCUGAACCACAAAGCGUCAGGCCUGGUGUCUUGCUGAUGUAUUAACAAUCAAUAGCUGCUUCCUGCCCAUAGCACAUAUUGCUAUAUACUGUUGCCUGUGGCUUUGCCUGUCCUGUUUUCCAAGACUGCACCAGGACACAGGGAGCUGGAGCUGAAAUGAAGCCACAGAAUGAGUUUUGGCAAUCUAGAAGAGGGCAGAUGGCAAACUAUAACUUUCUUUUUCAUAGUUAGAAAAACCCACUGUUGCUUUAAAGAGGCAAUUGCUGCAGCCAUAUGGAUUUCAUGGAAUCAUUUAAUGUCCCCCUCCAUCACGUAGUCCCUAGCUGUACAGUGGAGAGAGGAACCAAAACUCUUCGCAGAAGCAGAAUGCUCCUCUUCAAAAUCCGCAAAUAUCUCACCAUCUAUCCCACCAGGUGCUGCGCGAAUAAACACUUUGAGAACUUUGGCAGGAGAAAUCCUACCAAAAAGGUAGCAGAAAUCAAGACGAAGUUAAAAUACUGGUCUGGGAUGGUGCAGAAAGCUAGGUUCACAUCCCAGUUUUACCACAGACUGCCUGUUCCACUAAGCAUUUACCAUAUGCCCCUGUUUACACCUGCAGGUAGGUUUGCUGGCUUCAGUGGAUCGCUCUGUUUAAUAUUUUAAGCAUAUGCCUAACUUUGAUGUAUCUGGGAUUAAAGAGACUAGAGGUGAAAAUGCCAUUGAAGCAUCUUUCAUUAAUCAUUAUUAACUACCUAAUAAGGCCUCAUAUAUACAUAGAUAAAUUGAGAAAAAUCAGACAGAAAAACACAUUGUGAACUGUGCUACCAAAAAAUCUCCAUUAUUUUUCUAGUUUGGGGAAAGGACAGAUAAAACUUAGUAUGUAGGUUAGUGUUUAAAGAAAUCAAGGGUCCUAAUUCUGAGUUUGGGAGUAACAUCAAUGAAUUAAUGCAGUGAUGCUAGUGUAAACCUGGCGUGGGGUGAGAGGUACAGAUUUAAGGUAUUUCAUGCUUGAAGAAGUAUUCAGUGGAGGAAUUGCUACUUUAACUAUUUGAGAGAGACUGUGCUAAUGGGUUUUGCAGGUUUAAUGAGUUUCUCCAAUGCAAAUGUUCUCAAAAACAUUGUGAAUGCCAAUUUUGCCCAUCUAGAGUACUUCAUCUGCGAGGACUGCAAAAGAAGGUGUCCUGGCUUGGAAUAAAUAACACUGGUUUCCUCCACAGAAAGGCAUUUUUAGUAUUUUAUUUAAGUUUUUAUUCAGUCCUUCAAAGUGAAAAAAUAUUUUUUUCAUAGGAAAACUGUCUUGUGUUAAAAGUUUGCAAAUGCCUGAAUGUUUCACAGUAAGUAAUAGAGGGGGCAUAUUGCUACUGCUAUUUAAGUACUAAUUGCUAAGAGUUAUUGUAGAAAAGUAAAUGAUAAAGGCCAAAUUCUAUUCCAUCUCAUACCAAGCAAGUUUCAUUAAACCUAUAAUCAGAUUUUGACCCAAUAAAAAGAGAGCUCUGCCCAGUGAUUCUAGCCAUAGCUUUUAAGACAGUUGAAUUGGCUCAAUAUUCUGAUUUGACCUGAAACAGGAACCAUGUUCUUUUGAAAUGGAUUUAUUGCAUCCAUUUGAAUCAAUAGUGCUGUUUGAAGAAAAGUGGGAAAGAAAACUGAAAAUACAAUAUGAGGUAAAUCAAUGAAAAAGGGCAGAAAAUUUUAUAGAAAAAAAACUAGGAGGCAAAAUUGACAGUCGGCUUUAAAAUAUUAAUCAGGGACCCAGGUCUGCUGCAGAGAUGCAUAUGUAUUUAAUCAAGGCAGCUGAAAACUUCCUGCAAGAGGCUGAUCACGGUCAAGUCGAGAGGAGACGGCGAGGGGAAGGACAUCUCCUGACAGCUUCUGAAAGCCUUCAAGUGCAUGGGAUGGGAACGGCCUCGCUGCUUAACAUCCCCAUGGAGCACCACGCUGGCGGUCCAGGACCAGCAGCUCACGCUGCAGGGAGCCACGUCCUUUUGGGAGCCCGCGGCAGC